CGGCCGUGUAUCAGCCCUCCAAACCGCACGCAACGGACAGCAGUAAAAAACUGCCCCACACAUACGCACCUCACGCGUCCCAGCGAAGAAGAAUGAGAAAACGGUGGAGAGAUUAGAGCCGGCUCCGAGCAGCCGAACAUCGCCUCUGCGGAGAGGCUGCGCCGCACAGCCGUGAGGACCAGAGAAGAGUACGCCACCGGGCCAGGAACCUGCUGCCGCGAACCGCCGCGGCGGGCAGGGAAGGAGAGCCGCCGCGGAUUUGGGAGGAGCGUCGUCGCAGGGGUAGGGAGAGCGCCGCCCGGACCAAGCUCCUGCUCGACCGAUCAAGGACUCUCAAUUCCGGCCGCCUGCAGCACAUCAGGCCAUCAGCUAACAGAAUGGCGGCACCGGGCAAAGCUAGCGGUAUGCAACAGCAGAGAGGCCGUUGAUUUGCUUAUAUCUGGUUCUGCUAUUAAGUUACUGAAGCAAGACACCUUUUUCCUAUUGUUCUGGUGAAUUCGUCUCAGUGCAUUCAUCCUCUGAGUCAUCUGAUAUCACAACAGAUCUCAAGUCUCCUUAUAUUGCCACUAUGGGGCUCACGUGCUGGCGCUGCUGAUAUAUUGUGUUGACGCCCAUCUUUGUUUAAUGUACUCCCAUUACUGUCAAUGUGAUUUCUCUUUCACACGCAUUAGUUCACAUGAAAGUUUGCCCGGCGAGAAGUGCUUUGGAGUGACUCUUCCAACGUUGACUAGAGCAAUUGGGCGCAAGGCUUUGCCGGGCGUCGGGCGUGCUUUGCCAUGACAUCGUCGGACGUCGAGUGAAGCGUCUAGGCAUGGAUUUUCGUGGUAGCUCUGUCGACUUCAAUAUGUUCAAGACGCGGUGGUUGUCGACUUCUAAUUGAUUGGCGUGUGACCGUGCGGCUGGUUGUACUUGCUUAUAUGUGUUGAGGUGGCUGGGUUUGAGGUGGCCGAGACGUCUGGAAAUCUGAUCAUGACCUUGUCAUAUUUAUUUAUUUUUUGGAAUUUUCAUCACGUGGGAUCUGAUAGUUGUCCUUAUUUGUUUAGGUUUGCAUGCAUUCGUUCCUGUUUUGGAUUUUUCAUCACGUGAGAUACGUAUCCAACAUGGAUCCUUUCCAAAAAGUUCCAAGUUUUAUCUCAACAGUAA